CCCCUCUCAGGGUCACAACUGGAGAGUUUUCAGGACUCUACCAGUCUCGGCUACCAGAGGGAGAGUCGAGCAGCGGCCUACUCAUCCCAUUCCUAACUUGAGCAGUGGCUAGCGAGUGGAAGGCAAUCUGCUACAAGU